AUUGCAAAGAGAAAUGAUAUUUGUACAACUAUUUUCUAACAACUUUUUGACAACUUUCUCUCUCAGACUCACAUUAUCUUCUUAUUCCCUCUCUUCCUUUUUCUCUCUCUCUCUCUCUCUCUAUUAUUUUUGACCAAUCAAAAGAGAGAAAACCAAAGUUGUCAUGAAAGUUGUACCAAAGAGUUGUACAUAUAUCACUACUCUAUUGCAAA
rnacentral:pre_miRNA from 1 species